UACAGAGGGUGCGAGCGUUAAUCGGAAUUACUGGGCGUAAAGCGCACGUAGGUGGCGACGUAAGUCGGGUGUGAAAGCCCCGGGCUUAACCUGGGAAUUGCAUUUGUGACUGCAUAGCUAGAGUGCGGUAGAGGGGGAUGGAAUUCCGCGUGUAGCAGUGAAAUGCGUAGAUAUGCGGAGGAACACCGAUGGCGAAGGCAAUCCCCUGGGCCUGCACUGACACUCAUGCACGAAAGCGUGGGGAGCAAACAGG
rnacentral:rRNA from 1 species